CAGUAGCCACGGGAAUACAGAGGGUGCAAGCGUUAAUCGGAAUUACUGGGCGUAAAGCGCGCGUAGGUGGUUUGUUAAGUUGGAUGUGAAAGCCCCGGGCUCAACCUGGGAACUGCUUCUGAGACUGAACGACUAGAGUACGGUAGAGGGUGGUGGAAUUUCCGGUGUAGCGGUGAAAUGCGUAGAUAUCGGAAGGAACAUCAAUGGCGAAGGCAGCCACCUGGGCCUGUACUGACACUGAGACACGAAAGCGUGGGGAUCAAACAGGAUUAGAUACCCCGGUAGUCCCUGUCUCUUAUAU
rnacentral:rRNA from 1 species